ACUUAGUCAUGGUGCAGACACCACAGGACUGUGCCACAGAGCAUCCUGCCUGCUGAAGCAUGGGUGAUCAUGAACACUAGGAAACAACCUAGAGUGUAUAUAGAGAAGGCACAUCCAGCAAUGCCAAUUCAUCCUGGAAACUCCUCCUAGAGAAGCACAGUGUGCUCUUCUAAUUUGAAGGUGACUUGGAGGUCAUGGAAACCAACAAUAAAGCAAUACUAAACAAUAAAGAACUGGCUUGUCAGAGGAGCUACUCAGGUGCCCUCAGAUGUUGAGAAGUACCCCAUGGUCACAUUUGCACUGUGUGGAGUCCAGAAUUGGUGAUGUUUUCCAGAGUUCCAUAUCUCCACUGUCAUUAACUCAGUGUCUCCCAUGUUCCCUUCCUAAACUGGGACGCUAUGCCCUUUGCCUUGUGGAGGAGUGGGCCAGCUCCAUGGUUCUUGCCAGCUUACUCUAGGACUCUCCACUGAAGAAAUACUCAAGCCCUGAAUCAUCUCUCUGAAGAUAUUAUCAGCCACUGAUAGUUUUGUUGGAUUUCUUUUGAGGAGACCACACUUGGGGGCUAGCCAGUUUCCUUAUCUCCCAGCCUGGAGAAAAGGCUAAGUGCUUUCAAACAAUGCAUCACUGA
rnacentral:lncRNA from 1 species